rnacentral:rRNA from 1 species
CAAUAGCGUAUAUUUAAGUUGUUGCAGUUAAAAAGCUCGUAGUUGGAUUUCGGGUGGGACGCAGCGGUCUCGCAUUGCGUUUGUACUGCUGCAGCCCUCCUUCUUGCCGGGGGCGGCCUCUCGGACUUCACUGUCUGGGGGUCAGAAUCGGCGAUGUUACUUUGAGUAGAUUAGAGUGUUCAAAGCAAGCUUACGCUCUGAAUAUAAUAGCAUGGGAUAACACGACAGGACUCUGGCCUAUCGUGUUGGUCUAUAGGACCAGAGUAAUGAUUAAGAGGGACAGUCGGGGGCAUUCGUAUUCCGUUGUCAGAGGUGAAAUUCUUGGAUUUACGGAAGACGAACAUCUGCGAAAGCAUUUGCCAAGGAUGUUUUCAUUGA